CUUCCUCUCUUUCUCUCUUCACUUUCUCUCUCUAAAAUUUUUUCUCUCUAGAUUAUUUAUCUCUUUUCAUGAAUUUCUCUCUCUAGAAUUAUAUCUUUCUAGAAAUUUAUCUUUUUAGGAUUAAUCAAGAAAAAAACUUUAUUUUGAUGAGUUUGAAUGAUUUUAACGAAGGGGUUUUAAUCCAUGAUCGCUGAUUGGCAUGUUGACAUCUAUCUUGAUCAAAUUAGAUAUUAUUAGAUUUUAUAAUCAAUCAUUUUAUUG
rnacentral:lncRNA from 1 species